rnacentral:misc_RNA from 1 species
GAUGAAGAACGUAGCGAAGUGCGAUAAGUAAUGUGAAUUGCAGAAUUCCGUGAAUCAUCGAAUCUUUGAACGCAAAUUGCACUCUCUGGUAUCCCGGGGAGUAUGCCUGUUUGAGGGUCAGUGUUAAUAAAAAUCGGUGCGUUGCACUUUAUUGUGACGUUCUGGAGUUUGAGUUAUCUUAACUUUUAGGUUAAGAGGCUUAAAAUUGACCUUUUUUUUGUGCAUUUUAGACGUACAUAAAUUUUCUUUUAUUUGUCUUUUAAUGCCAAAAUUAUAUUAGAUGCGACCAUAUCGUGUGGUUUCGUGUCUAUAAAUUUUUCAUGAUUUGACCUCAAAUCAGGUAGGAGUACCCGCUGAACUUAAGCAUAUCAAUAAGCGGAGA